AGCUGUGCCUGAGCCACGGGCUGGGCCCGGUGGCCUUGGCCAACGAGCUGCUGGCUUUUGUCACCAGCAAAGACCUCGACCUCCAGCUCACCCCCGACGGUCUCGACGCCUUCGAGCACGAGGUCCUUUCCAAGCGGAGCAGCCGCAGCCAGCGCGGGAGGGACGAGCGCCGGGGAMUCCUGCACGACAUCCACUCGCUCCAGGAGCUCCUCGAUGAGGAAGGGGAGGACGAGCUGCUGGACGCCUACACCACCCCAUCCAAGGGCUCCCAGAAACGCAGCAAUUCCACCCCGGAGACGCCCCGGCCCAAGCGGACGCCGUCGUCCCGCAGCCCCUACGGACUCUUCUCCCCCGGCAGCUUCUCCCCGAGGUGGGUGAGGGGCUUUGGGGGCUUCCCUGAAAUCACAGCUCCAUAAAUUG